rnacentral:misc_RNA from 1 species
ACCAGGUUCACCUUCUGCCUCAACCUGCUAAAACAAGAGACCCAAUUUCAUUUGCUACUAAAUGCAGCAAAAACACCUAAAACAACAAGGAAAACAAAAAAACACACGCCCUGAUUGGCCUAAAGCUAAAAUAGCUGUGAAGGAAAUGCAAGCAGAAAUGAAAUUACCAUGAUUGUAACAUAAUGCAACAAAUAAUUUUCUCCACUUUUUGAUCAGAAAGAUAAUAUCUUAAAAUGCAUCAUACAAUCAUCUAAAGUGGACUUUUAUGGUGAAAUAGCGUAGGACCCAUUGCAAAAGCACUAAAAUUUAAAAGUAUUAUGCUGUUUCAUUUUGCAACUUCAAAUUUUCAAUAGCCAACAAUUUUGAAAUCAAAGUUUAAGGGUGCACUUACUUCUAUGGAACUGAUGUUGCAUAAAUUAACAUGUUUAAAUUCCAAAUUACAAAUACGAAAUAGCAAAUGAAUUACAUAAAAUGCAUAGAAUUCAGUUGUUCCAAAAUUGUAAAAGACAGAAAAAAAAAAUCCAUUUUAAAACCAAUUAAACACAAUUGAUACAAUGCAUACAUAGAUUAGCCACCACAUCACACUACAUAAAACCUACAAAAGUUCUUUCAUGGAAAUCACAGCUUGAUUUAUUCUAUCAUCAUUGAACCAAUCAUAAUUUCAACACAAUUACAAAACUUCAAAUUGUAACAUUAAAAUCACUCUACUCUAAUUUUAGUCUCAAUAAAAAUUGUCUUGUAUAUUUUUUCUUUUUUGAAGCAAGCUGUAGAACUUAAUAUCUCACACACACACACACACACA